UACGUAGGGGGCUAGCGUUGUCCGGAAUCAUUGGGCGUAAAGCGCGUGUAGGCGGUCCGGUAAGUCCGCUGUGAAAGUCGGGGGCUCAACCCUCGGAUGCCGGUGGAUACUGUCGGGCUUGAGUACGGAAGAGGCGAGUGGAAUUCCUGGUGUAGCGGUGAAAUGCGCAGAUAUCGGGAGGAACACCGGUGGCGAAGGCGGUUCUCUGGGCCGAUAUUGACGCUGAGGAGCGAAAGCGUGGGGAGCAAACAGG
rnacentral:rRNA from 1 species